GCCUGGGUGGCUCAGUUGGUUAAGCAUCUGACUUCAGAUCAGGUCAUGAUCUCAUGGUCCAUGAGUUCCAGCCCCGCCUCAGGCU
rfam:Felis catus isolate Cinnamon breed Abyssinian chromosome X, whole genome shotgun sequence.